GGGAUUUUAUUAUAAGAGUGUAUAGUCGAUUGCAAAUUGGCAGGUUUUUAUCCUUG
rnacentral:tRNA from 1 species